AAACAAGUGUCUGACCAGGGUGCCCCAAGGUCUGUCCCAGCCUUGAAUCUGAUUCCAUGCCAUGUCAUGGGUAACCCCAAGGAGAUCAUUUAAUCUUUCUGAGACUCUGGUGGGUUUUUUUGUUUGUUUCUUUUCGUUGUUUUGCAAAAUUGGGGACAGCUGGACUAAAUGAUUUCUAGAGUCCUGGGAAGCUUUUCGUCAGAGAUCCUCUGAUCUGUGUAUUGCAUAUGCAAGUGCUCACAUACAGAGACUUCUCUAGGGUUGCAGGCCCCCUGCUAGCAGGUUCCCCUUGUACAGGCUCUCAUUUCCCAGUUGAGUUCCACUGUAUAAACAGCUUCAAGUCCUUUUCAAUUCCUGGGCCGUAGAGGUAGUACUCAGAAGGAGGAGGCAGACAGUAGAGGUUCUCUGUUGCCCCUUCCUGGGAUCUCCCUUUGGGUGGGUCCUCCAGAGGGUUCCCCCCAGGGACCCACAGGUCCCCAUUCCCAGCCUCUGUCUCCCUACAGUGGUAACCGGGGCCACAAGUGGAAUCGGCAGGAGCUAUGCUCAUGAGCUGGCCCGAAGAGGCCUCAACGUUGUACUGGUCAGCCGAGAUCUAGACAAGUUACGUCGGGAGGCAGAGGACAUUGAGAGACUCCAUGGUAAGGAAACAAGAGUCAUCCAAGUGGACUUCACUGGAAGCUUAGAGGUCUAUGAGAUAGUUGAGAGAGCCUUGGAGGGCCUAGAGAUCGGCAUUCUAGUCAACAAUGUGGGUGUAGCUCCCAAGAUAAUCCCCCAGAAGCUGAUGGAUUUGAAGAAUGCAGGCAAG